rnacentral:lncRNA from 1 species
GCUGUGCGCGCGCCCGGCCGUCCUUCCUGUCGCACUUCAGGUGGACAAGCGUGGGCUUGUCGAGUGCAACCGCAGAGGCACCGGCGGCCACCACGUCACCCCUCCCUUCGCAGGGUCCUCUUCCUGUUCUCUGACUCUGCUUCGGAGAGUGCUUCCUUAGCUUCGGGAAGAGGCUGUAAUCUAACUCAUCGUCUGUUUGCUCUGAAAACCAGCGUGGACGUGCAGAGGCCGACUGGAUCACCGUCAGUAACCGUGCUGCCAGUCCGAGAAGCCAGCCCGGCCUCUGAAGCGUACGACCUUGAGCUGCUCAAGGACAAGCACAGACCAAGGGAUGCUCUCUGGACGAAGAUGCUCCAAGAGAAAAUGAAUACGCAGCAGAGGCAGAGGAAGACCCCCAGCCUUGGCUCUCAGCGGGACCUGGAGAGCCAGCGGAGAGAGGGCCUUCUUUCUCGGCUUACGGAAUGGAAGGAACAGCGUGAACAGCGAGAAACUGCAGCCCGGCGACCCCGAGGCCCGGAGCAGGUGGGCUGGGGGUGUGUGUGUCCCUCAGUCCCUGCUGGACCGCCCUCCCCCGUCCCUGCACCUUCCCCCCCAACCCCCACCCCUCCUCCUCCCACCCUGGGCGUCUUGUGGAUUCCACCCGUUCAGCCUGAGAGAAGGCCC